rnacentral:RNase_P_RNA from 1 species
CAAACGGGAUAUGACCGCGUAAGUUUAUCCUGAUGAUAAGAUAAAUUUAUGAGAUAAAGUCCGGGCUCCUUCGGAAAAAAUGCCGGAUAAGAACCGGGCAUCUGCUGGAAGCUGCAUAAUUUCUUGCAUAGCCCAGUAUGAUGACAGAUAGUGCAACAGAAAGUAAACCGCCUUUAAAAGGUAAGGGUGAAAGGGUGGUGUAAGAGACCACCGGUUAUCUGGUAACAGAUAAUGCUGGUAAACCUCAUUUGGAGCAAGGCCGCGCAGCAGUUUGUUAUUCCGAGCUUAUACUGCGGGUAGGCCGCUUAAGCUUUGUGAUAACACAAAGUUUGGAUAGAUGGUCAUGGUACUUAGUACUGACAGAACCCGGCUUAUUGUCCCGUUUGUUUU